rnacentral:rRNA from 1 species
GGGGCGAACGCUGGCGGCGUGCUUAACACAUGCAAGUCGAGCGACGCUCCUCCUUCGGGAGGAUGACGGAGCGGCGAACGGGUGAGUAACACGUGGGCAACCUGCCCCUAGCUCUGGGAUAACCCCGGGAAAUCGGGACUAAUACCGGAUAUGAAGUCGGACGGCAUCGUCUGACUUGGAAAGUUUUUCGGCUAGGGAUGGGCCCGCGGCCUAUCAGCUUGUUGGUGGGGUAACGGCCUACCAAGGCGACGACGGGUA